rnacentral:rRNA from 1 species
UACAGAGACUGCAAGCGUUAUUCGGAUUCACUGGGCGUAAAGGGUGCGCAGGCGGCCAAGUGUGUCAGGUGUGAAAUCCCGAGGCUUAACCUCGGAACUGCGCCUGAAACUACUUGGCUAGAGUACUGGAGAGGGUAACGGAAUUCACGGUGUAGCAGUGAAAUGCGUAGAUAUCGAGAGGAACACCUGCGGCGAAGGCGGGUUGCUGGGCCGACACUGACGCUGAUGCGCGAAAGCCAGGGGAGCGAACGGG